AGAUGAGAUUACCAGUCUGCAAAUGAUCAGGACAAAGCUCAUUGUUGUGAUGGUGAGACAGCAUCAUUGGAUGACAGCAUCACUAGCAUCUGACUCACUUGACAAAGUAUCUGUAUCCUGCCUUUUACUAAAAAGCCUAGCACUGAGGUCUCAUUUAUUCUAGUGCAGCACCUGUGACCUGCCUGGACUCCGUCAUCACAAUGUCAAAAUUCUGUCACAAUGUCAAAAUUCUGUCACAGUGCCAAAAUUCUGUCACAGUGUCAAAAUUCUGCUGAGUUUCACGCCAAGGGAGGGGAAGGAGAAUAUUCAUCCUCUUUUCCCAUUUGGUGUCACAUGCAAUUAUAUGGGGCCCAAAGCAGAUCAGCUUAUAUCCAGCACCUCUUAUAUGGAAGGCAUCAAUGAGAACCAAAAUAAAAACUACAAUCCCUCACUCAAGAAGUUUAAAAUGAAGUGAAUGGACAAUUGUGAGAAGAAAUGCUAUUGAUCUUCCAAAGUUGUAUAUUCGAUAGUGAAUAUUGUAUGUUUAAAGUAACCUUGCAAAAUGUGUCAUGUCAAAUGUAAUAAAUUGUAUGUUCUGACGAAGGAAUGGAAUGCCAGAUCUAAGGAACUGAAAUUUAUCUGGGC
rnacentral:lncRNA from 1 species